CCUACGGGAGGCAGCAGUGGGGAAUAUUGGACAAUGGGGGCAACCCUGAUCCAGCAAUGCCGCGUGUGUGAAGAAGGCCUUCGGGUUGUAAAGCACUUUAGGUUGGGAGGAAGGUGAGUAGUUUAAGAGAUGAUUCACUUGACUGUACCGACAGAAUAAGCACCGGCUAACUCUG
rnacentral:rRNA from 1 species